UGCCAGCCGCCGCGGUAAUACGGAGGGUGCAAGCGUUGCUCGGAAUCACUGGGCGUAAAGCGCACGCAGGCGGUGUAGUAAGUCGGGUGUGAAAGCCCGGGGCUCAACCCCGGAAUUGCUCUCGAAACUGCUACACUUGAGUGCGGGAGAGGGAAGCGGAAUUCCUGGUGUAGAGGUGAAAUUCGUAGAUAUCGGGAGGAACACCAGCGGUGAAAGCGGCUUCCUGGCCCGAUACUGACGCUCAUGUGCGAAGGCGUGGGGAGCAAACAGGAUUAGAUA
rnacentral:rRNA from 1 species